AAUACUCUCGAAUCUUUUAGGUAAAUAAUUUCAAAGCUAGAUCUUAACGACGACUCUGUUAUAGUCAGUCCCAGAUUGCCAGCCUUUUUACAUGUCACUAGCAUUAAUUAAAUCCAGCAUCCACUGUCUCUAGAGAAGUACACUAAUGUGGGGUUUUUUAUUUGAAUAUUUUGGUGCUUUCCAUAUCUGCAGAGAGAAGAUGGGCUGUUUGCAGCUUGUAUUUGAAGCUCUUUAAUGUUGCCACUUUCUAGUGGUCUUCUCUGCAAUAUGUGAAACCACACCUUUACAUGUAGGGUGCUUUUCCUUAAAGUUAAAAUGGCUUUGUGUGUUCUGUUUGGCAUCUUUAAUCAGGACAAUUAAAUACUUUACAACGAUAAACUUUAAAAACCCACCCGCCGAACAACAAACUGCGUAAGAAAAAGAGCUGUACUAGGAUUUAGCCCUUAGCUUGGAGUGAGCUUCUUAAAAAUAAUUUGCACCGAAGCCAUCUCCUGUCCACCUUUUCCACACCCCCCCCCCCUUCACCACCAAACAGUAACAAAUGAAGGAUCACUCACCUUGGCAGAGGAAGCAAAGAGCAGCAGUCAGGAGGAGAGCGGGGAUGCUCUCCAUGGUGUUAUGAAUUACUGCCUGUCGACAGAGGCUGUUGGGAGACGAGCGUCGCUGCCAGGACUGUGCGAGCACAGGGAGCGGGGAGAGCUGCGCUCCUCCGAUGCGUGAAAUGCCUGAAGCAGCAGCCGGCAGGACCCUGAACAGCUCUGCGCAGUGAGCUCCCAUUAGGGUUGCUGUGCUGCCCCCUCCCUGGCUACCCGGGCUGUCAGAGCUUGGGAAAUGGCAAACAAAUUGCAGGCCAAACAGAUGUUAUUGUAGGCAAAGAGCAGCCUUCUGGCAAGGAUAAUGGGCAAGAGUCCUUAAAAUGGUGCAUAAAUGAGCCUGGUAGUCUGACGGUGCUAAAGAUUUUUUCUGUCAGCUGCUCUGUAGGAUCCUUCUCUACCAGAAGCUCGUAACAAUCUACUAAGGGAAGUUUAAUUAAUAAAAAUCUUGUAAUUGAAUUGUGCUGAAAUGAAUAUUGACAGUAGGGAUGCCUGAUUUAGCAGUGAACUGAGAUCCUGGGACCUGCAUUUACAAUUAUGCUGUUAACAUCGAGGCUUUUUCCUCCCGUGUCUCGUCUCACAGGCGCAUGUGCUGGGUGCUUGGCUGCGUAAAAAGGAUGUGCUAUUCCCAGGAGUAAUUAAAGGCAUGUGCAACUGUUGACAGGAUCUAAGCCCAGAGUGGUAAACACAGCAGCUGGGAUCUGGCAAGAGCCAGGGCUUUGAAUGGAGAAUUAAACUUGAUCAAACCAAAAUGAGUUAAAGCUUCAAAGACAAUAUCAUAAACUCGUAUUCCCCAAAAGUCAGUGCUUAGCCUGGAUAAUUUGGAAACAUCUGAUCUGCAGAGGAAGCAAAGAGCCAUUACAUCAAGAGACACAGCAAUCCCAGUUUUCUGGUCUGCAAAUCAAACCAGGGUCGUCUGGUCUGGAUGUCUGACGAG